rnacentral:ncRNA from 1 species
AGCUGCAUGACUGGCGGAAGUGGGAGUACCCACGGGGAGUGCAGCUAGUAUGAUAGCCGACCGCCUGGGCACCA